GCAUAUCUAUAAGCGGAGGAAAAGAAACCAACAGGGAUUGCCUCAGUAACGGCGAGUGAAGCGGCAACAGCUCAAAUUUGAAAUCUGGCCCUAGGCCCGAGUUGUAAUUUGCAGAGGAUGCUUUUGGUGCGGUGCCUUCCAAGUUCCCUAGAACGGGACGCCAGAGAGGGUGAGAGCCCCGUACAGUUGGACACCAAGCCUUUGUAAAGCUCCUUCGACGAGUCGAGUAGUUUGGGAAUGCUGCUCAAAAUGGGAGGUAUAUUUCUUCUAAAGCUAAAUACCGGCCAGAGACCGAUAGCGCACAAGUAGAGUGAUCGAAAGAUGAAAAGCACUUUGAAAAGAGGGUUAAACAGCACGUGAAAUUGUUAAAAGGGAAGCGCUUGUGACCAGACUUGCGUCCGGUGAAUCACCCAGCUCUCGCGGCUGGGGCACUUCGCCGGCUCAGGCCAGCAUCAGCUCGCUGUCGGGGACAAAAGCUUCAGGAACGUAGCUCUCUUCGGGGAGUGUUAUAGCCUGUUGCAUAAUACCCUUCGGCGGGCUGAGGUACGCGCUCCGCAAGGAUGCUGGCAUAAUGGUCAUCAGCGACCCGUCUUGAAACACGGACCAAGGAGUCAACCUUAUGUGCGAGUGUUCGGGUGUCAAACCCCUACGCGUAAUGAAAGUGAACGCAGGUGAGAGCUUCGGCGCAUCAUCGACCGAUCCUGAUGUUCUCGGAUGGAUUUGAGUAAGAGCAUAUAGGGUUGGACCCGAAAGAAGGUGAACUAUGCGUGUAUAGGGUGAAGCCAGAGGAAGCUCUGGUGGAGGCUCGCAGCGGUUCUGACGUGCAAAUCGAUCGUCAAAUAUGCGCAUGGGGCGAAAGACUAAUC
rnacentral:rRNA from 1 species